UCCUGACUGACCGAUAGUGAACCAGUACCGUGAGGGAAAGGCGAAAAGAACCCCGGCGAGGGGAGUGAAAAAGAACCUGAAACCGUGUACGUACAAGCAGUGGGAGCACGCUUAGGCGUGUGACUGCGUACCUUUUGUAUAAUGGGUCAGCGACUUAUAUUCUGUAGCAAGGUUAACCGAAUAGGGGAGCCGAAGGGAAACCGAGUCUUAACUGGGCGUUAAGUUGCAGGGUAUAGACCCGAAACCCGGUGAUCUAGCCAUGGGCAGGUUGAAGGUUGGGUAACACUAACUGGAGGACCGAACCGACUAAUGUUGAAAAAUUAGCGGAUGACUUGUGGCUGGGGGUGAAAGGCCAAUCAAACCGGGAGAUAGCUGGUUCUCCCCGAAAGCUAUUUAGGUAGCGCCUCGUGAAUUCAUCUCCGGGGGUAGAGCACUGUUUCGGCAAGGGGGUCAUCCCGACUUACCAACCCGAUGCAAACUGCGAAUACCGGAGAAUGUUAUCACGGGAG
rnacentral:rRNA from 1 species